AAUUGAAAUUUCAACAUUUUUUCUGGGGAAGAAAUGGAAAUUCUGAAUUUUUUGGGGGGAAAAAAAUGGAAAUUCCAGGUGAGGAAUUCCAGGGGAAAAAUUCCAGGUGAGGAAUUCCAGGUAAAAAAAUUCCAGGGGAGGAUUUCAGGUGAGGAAUUCCAGGUAAAAAAAUUCCAGGGGAGGAUUUCAGGUGAGGAAUUCCAGGGGAAAAAUUCCAGAUGUGGAAUUUCCAGGUGACAUUUCAGAUAGAAUUCCCAGUGGGAUUUUCCUUCCACCUGUGAAAUUCCAGGUGAGGAAUUCCAGGUGAGAUCUCAGGUGGAAUUUCCAGGUAGAAUUCCCAGUGGGAUUUUCCUUCCAGGUGAAAAAUUCCAGGUGAGAUUUCAGGUGGAAUUUCCAGUGGGAUUUUCCUUCUACCUGUGAAAUUCCAGGUGAGAAUUCCCAGGUGAGAUUUCAGGUAGAAUUUCCAGUGGGAUUUUCCUUCUACCUGUGAAAUUCCAGGUGUGGAAUUCCAGGUGAGAAAUUCAGGUGAAAAAUUCCAGGUGAGAUCUCAGGUGGAAUUUCCAGGCAGGAUUUUCCUCCAGGUGAGAAAUUCCAGGUGUGGAAUUUCCAGGUGAGAUUUCAGAUAGAAUUCCCAGUGGGAUUUUCCUUCUACCUGUGGAAAUUCCAGGUGAGGAAUUCCAGAUGAAAAAUUCCAGGUGAGAUCUCAGGUGGGAUUCUCUCCAGGUGAGGAAUUCCAGAUGUGGAAUUUCCAGGUGAGAUCUCAGGUGAGGAAUUCCAGGUGGGAUUCCCUCCAGGUGUGAAAUUCCAGGUGAGAUUUCAGGUGGAAUUCCCUCCAGGUGAGGAAUUCCCAGGUGGAAUUCCUGGUGGGAUUUUCCCUCCAGGUGAGGAAUUCCAGGUGUGGAAUCCCCAUCAGAAUUCCAAGAAUUUGAGUAAAUUCCAUUCCUGGGAUGUCGAGAUGGACCCUGGGGGAGUUUGUCCCCAAAUCCCCCAAAAAUUCCCCCAAAAAAUCCUGAACCAGGGAAGGAAAAUCUGGAAUUUCCCCUC